GACGAACGCUGGCGGCGUGCCUAAUACAUGCAAGUUGAGCGCUGAAGGUUGGUACUUGUACCAACUGGAUGAGCAGCGAACGGGUGAGUAACGCGUGGGGAAUCUGCCUUUGAGCGGGGGACAACAUUUGGAAACGAAUGCUAAUACCGCAUAAAAACUUUAAACACAAGUUUUAAGUUUGAAAGAUGCAAUUGCAUCACUCAAAGAUGAUCCCGCGUUGUAUUAGCUAGUUGGUGAGGUAAAGGCUCACCAAGGCGAUGAUACAUAGCCGACCUGAGAGGGUGAUCGGCCACAUUGGGACUGAGACACGGCCCAAACGCCUACGGGAGGCAGCAGUAGGGAAGCUUCGGCAAUGGACGAAAGUCUGACCGAGCAACGCCGCGGGAGUGAAGAAGGGUUUCGGAUCGUAAAACUCGGUUGGUAGAGAAGAACGUUGGUGAGAGUGGAAAGCUCAUCAAGUGACGGUAACUACCCAGAAAGGGACGGCUAACUACGUG
rnacentral:rRNA from 1 species